rnacentral:rRNA from 1 species
UGAGAAAAGCUUGCUCUUCGAUUCAGCGGCGGACGGGUGAGUAAUGCCUAGGAAUCUGCCUGGUAGUGGGGGACAACGUUUCGAAAGGAACGCUAAUACCGCAUACGUCCUACGGGAGAAAGCAGGGGACCUUCGGGCCUUGCGCUAUCAGAUGAGCCUAGGUCGGAUUAGCUAGUUGGUGAGGUAAUGGCUCACCAAGGCGACGAUCCGUAACUGGUCUGAGAGGAUGAUCAGUCACACUGGAACUGAGACACGGUCCAGACUCCUACGGGAGGCAGCAGUGGGGAAUAUUGGACAAUGGGCGAAAGCCUGAUCCAGCCAUGCCGCGUGUGUGAAGAAGGUCUUCGGAUUGUAAAGCACUUUAAGUUGGGAGGAAGGGCAGUAAGUUAAUACCUUGCUGUUUUGACGUUACCGACAGAAUAAGCACCGGCUAACUCUGUGCCAGCAGCCGCGGUAAUACAGAGGGUGCAAGCGUUAAUCGGAAUUACUGGGCGUAAAGCGCGCGUAGGUGGUUCGUUAAGUUGGAUGUGAAAGCCCCGGGCUCAACCUGGGAACUGCAUCCAAAACUGGCGAGCUAGAGUAUGGUAGAGGGUGGUGGAAUUUCCUGUGUAGCGGUGAAAUGCGUAGAUAUAGGAAGGAACACCAGUGGCGAAGGCGACCACCUGGACUGAUACUGACACUGAGGUGCGAAAGC